AUUGAACGCUGGCGGCAGGCCUAACACAUGCAAGUCGAACGAGUGGCGGACGGGUGAGUAAUGUCUGGGAAACUGCCUGAUGGAGGGGGAUAACUACUGGAAACGGUAGCUAAUACCGCAUACCAUCAGAUGUGCCCAGAUGGGAUUAGCUUGUUGGUAGGGUAACGGCUUACCAAGGCUACGCUCCCUAGCUGGUCUGAGAGGAUGACCAGCCACACUGGAACUGAGACACGGUCCAGGCUCCUACGGGGGGCAGCAGUAGCGAAUUUUGCACAUUGGUCGCAGUCCUGAUUCAGCCAUGCCGAGUGUAUGGAGAAGGCCUUCGGGUUGUAAAGUUCUUUCAGCGGGGAGUCUUUACCCGCAGGAGAAGCGCCGGCUAACUCCGUGCCAGCGGCCGCAGUAAUAC
rnacentral:rRNA from 1 species